UACGUAGGGGGCAAGCGUUGUCCGGAAUCAUUGGGCGUAAAGAGCGUGUAGGCGGCUUGGUAAGUCCGCUGUGAAAGUCCAGGGCUCAACCCUGGAAAGCCGGUGGAAACUGUCAAGCUUGAGUCCGGAAGAGGCGAGUGGAAUUCCUGGUGCAGCGGUGAAAUGCGCAGAUAUCAGGAGGAACACCAAUGGCGAAGGCAGCUCGCUGGGACGGUACUGACACUGAGACGCGAAAGCGUGGGGAGCAAACAGG
rnacentral:rRNA from 1 species